GACGAACCGUGCGAACGUUAUUCGGAAUCACUGGGCUUAAAGCGCGUGUAGGCGGAAGGGCACGUCCGUUGCUGAAAUCCCCCGGCUCAACCGGGGAACGGGCACGGAUACGACUCUUCUGGAGGGGCGUAGGGGGACCUGGAACUUCCGGUGGAGCGGUGAAAUGCGUUGAGAUCGGAAGGAACGCCCGUGGCGAAAGCGGCCAUCUGGACCAGCACUGACGCUGAGGCACGAAAGCGUGGGGAGCAAACAGG
rnacentral:rRNA from 1 species